CACACACAGCCCUGUGUCAGCCUACAAAGCCCUCCAUGAAGAGUACCCUCCUCUCUCCUCAUCAUCAGUCAGUAUGAGGCCCAACAAGAGUUGAUGGAAGCAAAGAGCCAAGCGUUAACAAGCUCUGCCAGUCCUCUCGCUCGCAGUGUAGGAAUCGGCCUUCAAAACCAGUACGAUCAGACAAUCACUUAAACCCCUUUAACAUCACUUUAAUGACAUCUACACACGCACAUACACUCAGAGCUAGUGGUUAUGUAAUAGUCAGGCGGAAGAACUGCAGGAAAUAACCAACAUUUUUUGAUUAUUAUCUUGAAUGUGAUAUAUUGCCUUCUAGAAGACUAGAUGAUCACGAUUUGAGACUUUGAAUAAUAUCAUCCAUAAUUAUGGACUAAUGAGGGCACAAGAUAUACUGCAUAAUUGUUUUGUUUGAUCCUUGCUCCACAUUUGCAGGAUAUACACUUUCUCUUCAAGAAAUCCUUUGAUGAGAGAACAAAAUCAGGAGCAUCCGGCAUUAAUUGAGCACAAGGCAACUAAACUCACCAGGGUGGAUCUUAAAAUCUUCCAGAGGCACUGAGCUGGCUGUCUGGCCAAUGUGCUGCAGAACCUCCUCAUCCAGUCCUGUGGGGACACAGCUCAUGCUCCUGGGUUCUCCCUCCGCUGUGAAGAAAUCUACAGAGAGAGAGAAUACUUCACUCCAGCAGGAAGAGAAAAUAUUUAAAGAAAAAGCAGUCAAUCAAAUAAAAACUUGAGUUACUAAAUUGCAAAGGGGCAAUUUACCUGGCCAGGGGGAGUCGAGCCAGUGUUGAAUAUGUAAAAUCUUUUCAUCCUUGGAGCUGGUGUAUGCCUCCUCACAUAUCUUGUCAUAUUUGGCAACUUCUUCCUGUGACCAACAUUUGGCAAUGCGUGAUAUGGACAGAGAAAUGUCACAUAUUAACUGAUGCACAGUUUGUCUGCUUCGAUUAAAAUACAGCUGACUAACCAAAA